CUGCGCAGGCGCGCCGAGGCGCGGUGGCUUGUGGGUAGCGGGAGCGCGAGGGGGAUGCCUCGCUAGGCGUCCGGCCCCCGGGGCAACCGCGAGCUGGCCGGCGAAUGGAUGGGGUGUCCGCGGUGGCUUUCCGGGACGCUGAUUAGGGUGGUGAAGUUCUCACGAGAUGAAUACCUUCCUUUUUUGUAUAUCCUCGUACUUAUAAAGCCAGGCGUCCUUUUUGAAUUGAAAAGACAAAAUUAACAAAAUGUAAACGAUUUUCUCAGAAGGCAGUAUCACAGCUGUGAAGGGGGAAUAUUUGUCGACAGUACUUAAGGAAUUGUGGCAAACAGAAGAGAUCACAGAAGAACGGAUAUAAGCAAGUGUACUACACUGCAAAAAGGGGGGAAAGUGGAUCCCAUACAUCACAAACUGGCUAUAUAAUAUCCAUUCAUCCAUUGAUGAAUAUCUGGAUUGCUUCCACCUCCCAGCUAUUGUGAAUGAAUAGUGCUGCUGUGAACAUAGGUGAGCAAAUAUCUCUUUGAAACACAUGCUGCUUUUCUUUGGGAUAUUGGAACCAAAAGAGUUCCAGUUUCUCUGCAUCCUCACUGACACUUUUUUUU